rnacentral:piRNA from 1 species
UGAUCAACAGAUUGGGCAGAGCUAUUGUUUA